AACGUACGCUGGCGGCACGCCUAACACAUGCAAGUCGAACGAAGUAGCAAUACUUAGUGGCAGACGGGUGAGUAACAUGUAGGUAUCUGCCCUUUGGCCUGGAAUAACACGAGGAAACUUGUGCUAAUACCGGAUAAGUCUUUACGGAGAAAGCUUUAUGCACCAUUGGAUGAGCCUGCACUUGAUUAGUUUGUUGGUGGGGUAAUGGCCUACCAAGACUGUGAUCAACAGCUGAUUUGAGAGGAUGAUCAGCCACAUUGGGACUGAGACACGGCCCAAACUCCUACGGGAGGCAGCAGUGGGGAAUCUUGCACAAUGGAGGAAACUCUGAUGCAGCGAUGCCGCGUGAGUGAAGAAGGCCCUUGGGUUGUAAAGCUCUUUCGUCGGGGAAGAAAAUGACUGUACCCGAAUAAGAAGGUCCGGCUAACUUCGUGCCAGCAGCCGCGGUAAUACGAAGGGACCUAGCGUAGUUCGGAAUUACUGGGCUUAAAGAGUUCGUAGGUGGUUGAAAAAGUUAGUGGUGAAAUCCCAGAGCUUAACUCUGGAACUGCCAUUAAAACUUUUCAGCUAGAGUAUGAUAGAGGAAAGCAGAAUUUCUAGUGUAGAGGUGAAAUUCGUAGAUAUUAGAAAGAAUACCAAUUGCGAAGGCAGCUUUCUGGAUCAUUACUGACACUGAGGAACGAAAGCAUGGGUAGCGAAGAGGAUUAGAUACCCUCGUAGUCCAUGCCGUAAACGAUGUGUGUUAGACGUUGGAAAUUUAUUUUCAGUGUCGCAGGGAAACCGAUAAACACACCGCCUGGGGAGUACGACCGCAAGGUUAAAACUCAAAUGAAUUGACGGGGACCCGCACAAGUAGUGGAGCAUGUGGUUUAAUUCGAAGAUACGCGCAGAACCUUACCAACACUUGACAUGUUCGUCGCGACUCUAAGAGAUUAGAGUUUUCGGUUCGGCCGGACGAAACACAGGUGCUGCAUGGCUGUCGUCAGCUCGUGUCGUGAGAUGUUGGGUUAAGUCCCGCAACGAGCGCAACCCUCACUUUUAGUUGCCAUCAUUAAGUUGGGCACUCUGAAAGAACUGCCAGUGAUAAGCUGGAGGAAGGUGGGGAUGACGUCAAGUCCUCAUGGCCCUUACGUGUUGGGCUACACACGUGCUACAAUGGUAUCUACAACAGGAAGCAAGACUGCGGAGUUAAGCAAAUCCCUAAAAGAUACCUCAGUUCGGAUUGCACUCUGCAACUCGAGUGCAUGAAGCUGGAAUUACUAGUAAUCGUGGAUCAGCGUGCCACGGUGAAUGCGUUCCCGGGUCU
rnacentral:rRNA from 1 species